rnacentral:rRNA from 1 species
CACGUAGUUAGCCGGGGCUUCUUAGUCAGGUACCGUCAUUUUCUUCCCUGCUGAAAGGGCUUUACAUACCGGGGUACUUCUUCACCCACGCGGCAUUGCUGCAUCAGGGUUCCCCCCAUUGUGCAAUAUUCCCCACUGCUGCCUCCCGCAGGAGUCUGGGCCGUGUCUCAGUCCCAAUGUGGCCGUCCGCUCUCUCAAGCCGGCUACUGAUCGUUGCCUUGGUGGGCCGUUACCCCGCCAACAAGCUAAUCAGACGCGGGGCCAUCCUGUACCACCGGAGUUUUCCCUGCACCGCCAUGCGGCAGUGCAGGGUUAUGCGGUAUUAGCAGCCAUUUCUGGCUGUUGUCCCCCGGUACAGGGCAGGUUCCCCACGCGUUACUCACCCGUCCGCCACUAGGUUUAUACGGCUUCCCUCCGGAGAGUUCCGCUAUAUAAACCCCGUUCGACUUGCAUGUGUUAGGCAUGCCGCCAGCGUUUAUCCUGAGCCAGGAUCAAACUCU